CAUCUGUAGACGAAGGUCUUGGGAAGAGAUUCUCCAGGAACUGAGAGUAAUUAGCAGACUUUCUGAGAACUCGCACUCAGAGUUCAUGGAAGCGUCCUAACUUUUCCAGACAUAAUUGCAGAUCGAGGCACUUGUACACGGCUCCCACACCAUGGUGGGCAACGACAAUAAGAAGGGACCACCAGUGACAAGGGCAGGUCUGUGAGGUAAUCCAAUGGUGACAGAGUAUCCAACAGCCACAGGCAUAGAGGGAAGGGGACCGGCUUUCCAGUGCCUGUUGCUGUUGUUGGUAUUUCUGGACCCAGCCUUCCCCAAGCGCCUUAAGAAAACUGCCCGGGGAGGUGAACUCUCCUCUGCCCCAUGCAGUCUUCAGAAACAUCACUGAGAAGGAGACCCUUUUAUUGUUUUCAAUGCUCUGAAGACUUGAAUGGCUGGAGGACCUCAAUCAAGUGCAAAAUCAGCAAGAGCCUUCAGGGAAAAGCAAAACUGUCCUGUAGAAGCACCAGGAAGAUGUCCAACAGUGCUGUAGCUGAAACCUGGGAGAUGGGGACUAAGCUGGGAAGCUGGACUGCCCUGAUUGAGUGUUGAUCUUCACCCUUGAUGGAGAGAGCCAUAUUCUUAGUUGGCCCUCAGCUUCAUGGCUAAACACUGUGGGUUAAGCAUCCAGGGUUUGUUAAGGAGAAAUGCUUUGUACCUGUUUUUGAUAUUUCCUUCCAUGUGAUGUGUGGCUUUCCUGAUUUGCAUUUCCUCACAGGAGGGUUUCUUGGGGUACUUUUCCACAGACUCACAUUUUCCACCACAUUUUCCAACCUAGUCUUUGUGAAUAAUAAAUGUGGAGUUUUGAUUUUUCUUGCACCUCCAUUGUUUCUUUAUCUUAUUGAUCAAUUGAUUCUGAGUGCAAAGUAAAAAAAAAAAAUGGUGUUUUUUAACGCCCAAAAGACCAUCAUCUUCAAACUGCAUGUAGUUCACAAGGUCUAUUUCAGGUGCUUACACUAACAUAUGUACCUAUGAGAAUUAUAUUAAUAUAGUACACAAUGUAUAAUAAGUACAUAUAUACAUGAAAUUACAAAUAUAUAAGUCUAUAUAAA
rnacentral:lncRNA from 1 species